rnacentral:tRNA from 1 species
CAAGAAUUAACAUAUUAAAUGUGUCUCACUUACAUUGGGAAAAUAGUUAUUUUUUAAUUAUUCUUGA